rnacentral:rRNA from 1 species
AUUGAACGCUGGCGGCAUGCUUUACACAUGCAAGUCGAACGGCAGCGCGGGCUUCGGCCUGGCGGCGCGUGGCGAACGGGUGAGUAAUACAUCGGAACGUGCCCAGUAGUUGGGGAUAGCUCGGCGAAAGCCGGAUUAAUACCGCAUACGACCUGAGGGUGAAAGCGGGGGAUCUUCGGACCUCGCGCUAUUUGAUCGGCCGAUGGCAGAUUAGCUAGUUGGUGGGGUAAAGGCCUACCAAGGCGACGAUCUGUAGCUGGUCUGAGAGGACGACCAGCCACACUGGGACUGAGACACGGCCCAGACUCCUACGGGAGGCAGCAGUGGGGAAUUUUGGACAAUGGGCGAAAGCCUGAUCCAGCAAUGCCGCGUGUGUGAUGAAGGCCUUCGGGUUGUAAAGCACUUUUGGCGGGAACGAAAAGGACUGUGCCAAUACCACGGUUCGAUGACGGUACCCGCAGAAUAAGCACCGGCUAACUACGUG